CAAAUGAACCCAGGCCCGCCAUUGCUCACUGGUCUCUAUGAAAGCCCCAAGAAAAUUUCGCCCAAUCGAAAUUGUGACUGAGCCAUAGCUGCAACCAUCAAAGCCAUUUCCGGCCACAACGAUUUUCGAUUCUCAGUCCUGACACUGCUCUCUCGCUUACGAGCUUCUCUAGCACACGAUCCAUUCCUGCAUUCUCUCCUAUUCUCUUGUUUGUUCAAUAUGUUAAUUGGUGAUUUGAAGUUCAAUUCCUGCUCUGCUUCAACUCACUCUCCAUCUUCCGCUCCACACUCAAGAAAAGAGGCUUCUGUGUUCAAGGACGUAAGAUAAGUGAUGUAGGGAAAAUAGAUAUUUGAAGGUUUCAAUGAAGAGCUAUAUCCAUGAUCAAGUCCUAGAAGCACUAUCUGUGGCAGAUGAAUGAAGUGAGGUAUGUUCUUUAGUGUUUAGACAAAGCUUAGUUUUGCUUAGCAACCAACCGUAUAUUGAUUUGCAUUUCUAGUCAUGCCUUUGACAGAAUUUAUAUGCACUGAGAGCAACUAACAUCUCACUAACCUAUCUGGUCUCUCUAUUUGAAAAAGUAAGAAAUGAGAACACAAUGCAUACAUUUUCUUGAGGAAUUACCGUUAGCGGCUUUGGAAUUUCUCUUUGACCCUCUCUGUCUAUGUUUUCCUUACCUCAAUUGUUGAAAUUUCAUACUGAUUAGUUUGGGCGCAUUUUACUAUUUAAUUGGUGGCAUCCAUGUUUCUAAUGUUUUUUAUUUCUUAAUUUUCCCCAAUUUUUGUAUCAAGUGGCUUAGCAAGAUUACUUUGCCAAAUUACAUUUCACAAUUGGAAACAAGAUAAGAAAUCAUCAAUGACUAAAGAUGUCAGGACAAGAAAAUAGAAAUUGGAAUGGUUAUAGUUUACACAUCAGGUAAAGAUUACUGAGUGAUGGGGAAAAUCAUAGGCCAGAUAUGAGUCAUGCAGUCAAUGUGCAGAAAGAAAGGGGAAUUGACUUGCAACUUUUUCUGGAGAAAAACUAAUGGGUGGAUACUAGUUGCAAUGUCAGUACUCGGUAUUAGGUUUCUUACUUAGGAAGAUUUGAAGGUAAUUACAAGUUUCUGUUUAAUUUAUUGGGCUAACUAAGAUGAACAGUUCCAAUGCUAUGAAUAUUUUCUGGGGGUUUGGUAUUUGGCAAUGACAUUUGUAUAUUUGUAAAGAAUGAUUUUAGUGAACCUGUACAUUUAAAUCCUCCUCUAGAAUUUGAGUAGCCUAAAAUAAGUUUGGAAAUCUGACAACUAAUUUUUUAUCUGCCCUUUUCAUACCUACCAACUAAAAAGUAAAAAAAGAAACUAGAGCAUGAUUUUAUUUCCACUUGUACUUGAUGAGAAUUUCAUGUCAACACAGUUAAUGGAUUGAGUGAACAAUUUAGUUAGAAGCUAACUGACAAUGAUAGAGUGGGUCACUUGAGUGAAUAAUACUAACUUUAUUAAUGAACUUAGUAGUUCACUAAGUAAUCCAAAUCCAUGCAUAAAUAAAUAUAUAAACAGUUGAAUUUAAUAGCCUUGUAUGUCUUGUUCAUAAAUCGUGUGCUUGACUAGAAAGGCUCUACCCUGUUUCAGGACUAGAUUGGUAGUUGUUGCCACUCAGAAAUUUGUUGUCAGAGUUUCUGGAGAUGCACUUCAUUUUGUUUUCCUGUAAUUAUUUGUUCUGUUGUGACUUUCUAAUUUCCAUAUUAGGAGCAAGACCUAUUUCUGGACUGCAUUGAAGUUACUUCCUUUUUGGGUGAUGACAGAGAAAAUACAGGAAAAUAUAAUGCAGUGAAAUGUUUUCUUAUUCUGAGAAUUUGUCACUCUUUCUAUCUUACUAGGUUAUUUAUAAUUUGAUUUGUGGAAUAAGGUGCCUUUAUUGUUGAAGGACAACAUUUUUUUGUUUCAGUUGGAAUUGUUGAAUCAGUUGCUCAGAGUUUGUACAUUUAUUUUGUUUGUUUAGUCGAUUGUUAUGGUAAAUUAGGUCUGCAAGUUUGCUUUGCGAGAUAUUAGGACUAUGGUUCUUCUUUA